AGAUUGAACGCUGGCGGCAUGCCUUACACAUGCAAGUCGAACGGCAGCAUGGGAGCAAUCCUGGUGGCGAGUGGCGAACGGGUGAGUAAUACAUCGGAACGUGCCCAAUCGUGGGGGAUAACGCAGCGAAAGCUGUGCUAAUACCGCAUAAGAUCUACGGAUGAAAGCAGGGGAUCGCAAGACCUUGCGCGAAUGGAGCGGCCGAUGGCAGAUUAGGUAGUUGGUGAGGUAAAGGCUACACCAAGCCUUCGAUCGUGUAGCUGGUCUGAGAGGACGACCAGCCACACGUGGGACUGAGACACGGCCCAGACCUCGUAGGGAGCAGCAGGU
rnacentral:rRNA from 1 species